rnacentral:snRNA from 1 species
AUCUUUGCGCUUGGGGCAAUGACGCAGCUAGUGAGGUUCUAACCGAGCUGUGUCUAUUAGUGGUUGAAAAAUAAAUCCAAAACAUC